UUCCAUUUUGUUACCUUGCGACCUUCAUCAAUUAAGAGUGGAUGAUCGACGAGAUAAACAUAGACAUCUUUGAGUGAUUGGAAAUUGGGGAUUGGAGUCUCUGAUUUGGCGAUGAUGGACAGAUAAUCGGACGGUAGGAACUUUGCCCAAACAGAAUCAGAAUCGGCGGUUAAAUGGAGAAACUUAGAGAUUAAGGAAAAGCGACAAACGUCCGACGGGCUUGUAAAGGUGAAGAUCGUGACGAUACAUUCCUCCGGUAGCAUGGAUAGACGAUCAUUACUUUCAUUUUCGAUUUUCUUUUUCUCCAUUGAGUGUGUUUUGCUGUCACAUAUCAUGCUAUUUAUAGUAAAUAUUUGUUUUUCCUUACCGAUUAAGUUUUG
rnacentral:misc_RNA from 1 species